CCAGUGACAGUAAACGCUGGCGGCAUGCCUAACACAUGCAAGUCGAACGACCGAAACCCUGCGUAUAUUACGGGUGAGUACCAGUGACCUGCCUUUCGGUUCGGAAUAACGUCCAGUAGUGGACCGUGAUCAGUUCUAACCCCGAUGAGAGAAAGUUUACGCCGCGUGGACAUGAGCCCGCGUCGGAUUAUUGAUGAUAAGCCAGGGUAACCCAGUGACGAUAGCUUCGAUCCGUAGCUGCCGAUGAAGAGGAUGAUCAGCCACCGUGCAGAUGACACGGACGUAGUCCUACGGGAGGCCGUAGUAAAUAUUGGACAAUGGGCGCAAGCCUGAUCCCGAUGACAUUUGACGACCAGUAGACCAUAGAUGAAGGCCUUAGGGUUGUCCGUAGCGCACGCCGAUGACUACGAAGGGGGCUAGUAAAGGGCGCGUAGGCGGCCUGUUUAGUCAGAAGUGAAAGCCCCGGGCUCAACCUGGGAAUAGCUUUUGACCGUGACUAAAUCGGUCUCGUAGAGUUCCGGAGCCGUGACGCCGUAGAUUAGAGGUGAAAUUCGUAGAUAGAAGACCGAUGCCGUAGUACGGCCACCAGUGACAUACUGACGCUGAGGCGCGACCGUGACAAUUCCGAUAAACAGGAUUAGAUACCCUGCCGUAACACAGUCUCGUAGCAGUAUAAACGAUGAAUGCUAGACGUCCCGUGGGUCCAGUGAUGAUAAACCGUUUCGUGGUCGCCGCUAACGCAUUAAGCCCCAGUAGUAAACUCAAAGGAAGACGGGGGCCCGCACAAGCCGAUGAGCAUGUGGUUUAAUUCGAAGCAACGCGCAGAACCUUACCAACCCUCCAGUAGCCACUUUGAACCCGAGAGAUUGGGUUUUUCAGUUCGGCUCGUAGUAAACACAGGUGCUGCAUGGCCGUAGUCAGCUCGUGUCGUGAGAUCCGUGACAAAGUCCCGCAACGAGCGCAACCCCGUGACAUAUUUGCCAGUAAGUUGGGCACUCUGGUGGAACCGCCGCCGAUGAAACAAUUUAGGAGGAAGGCGGGGAUGACGUCUCCUCAUGGCCAGUAGAUGUUGGGCUACACACGUGCUACAAUGGCGGUGACAGUGGGACGCGAAGUCGCGAGCCAGUAUGGAGCAACGUACCCAAAAGCCGUCUCAGUUCGGAUUCCAGUAGAGAGUGCAUGAAGUUGGAAUCGCUAGUACAUCGCGGAUCAGCACAAUACGUUCCCGCCAGUUAGAGCCCUUGUACACACCGCCCGUCACACCCCAGUAUUCCAGUAGAGGUGGUGCGCUAACCGCCAGGAGGC
rnacentral:rRNA from 1 species